rnacentral:lncRNA from 1 species
CGGGUUUUCAACUCAAAUCCCCUUUGGCCUAAGGCGCCAUUUGCGGGUUUUCCCCUUAGCCUCUCUAUUUUUACUUUUUCAUUUUUCAUUUUUCAUUUUUCAUUUUUUCAUUUUUCACAUUUUUUUCCGACUCAAAGUGCCCGUUGCGGGUUUUCACCUUGGUCCUUUCUUCUUCUUUAAAUGAAGUAUUUCUUGACUGGAUCUGAGUUUAUAGGAUUAGAAAU